rnacentral:lncRNA from 1 species
GUUAUUAUUACGUAAAUGAGAUCCUAAUCAAAAAGUUAUCAAUUUAAUUGUUUAUACAACUUCAUACUGAUCAAUAUCUCAAUUUGUUACCUUAUCCAAAACCAACUUUUAUAAGACUUUGUAAGAAUUCCAAAAUGUAUAUACAAAUCAAAGAAAAAUAAACGAAUUAAUUAAAUAAAUUAACAAAAUUAAUCCGAUUUAGCUUAACUGUAACGAAAAGGUAAUGGUUCAAUUCAGAGAAACUGCUUCAAUCCAAUAUACCUAAAAUGAAUAGUAAGCUUAUC